UACGUAGGGGGCAAGCGUUGUCCGGAUUUAUUGGGCGUAAAGAGCGUGUAGGCGGUUUGGUAGGUCCGUUGUGAAAACUCGAGGCUCAACCUCGAGACGCCGAUGGAAACCAUCAGACUAGAGUCCGGAAGAGGAGAGUGGAAUUCCCGGUGUAGCGGUGAAAUGCGCAGAUAUCGGGAAGAACACCCGUGGCGAAGGCGGCUCUCUGGGACGGUACUGACGCUGAGACGCGAAAGCGUGGGGAGCGAACAGG
rnacentral:rRNA from 1 species